CCGCGGCGCGGAGGCCCGGAGCGCUUGCCUCAGUUCCACCUCCAUCUAGAACACCAGCGGCCGGAUGAGGCCACUCCGCCAUGCCUCCGUCUCUGUCCAACCAAAUCAGACGGCGGAGGCAAACCGUAGAGUGGUUGGCGGCCGUGCGGCGCGAGAUUGAGGUCGACAAUGGUUGCCGCAGCAGGAAUAGGUAGCCCAUGGAGAUCCGUUCUUGUUUGUGUUACGUGCGACUGUUUUGAGGGCUUCCGAAUCAGAUUGAGAGCCCUAAUGUGGCAGUCCGGGAUGCAGUCGGUGUCUUUGUCCAAGAUGGUGAGAUCUUCUGGUUCGGCUCGUGUUCCUCCGUAAUGACCUCCCACGGUGUGAUUUGGCCAGAUCCAUCCCCUUCUCAUAUUAUUUGGGGUGCAUGAAAUGUGGACUACGUAUACAAGAUUGCAGCAUCAUGAAAUGGUUUGAUACUUGGCUUGGUAGGUCCAAAGCUAAUGUUUCAUUUUCUUGUUUUGCAAAAUCUUACGACUAUUUGACUACACCAAGAUAACUAUGUAUGCUCCUGAAAAAAAUCAUUCUUUUCUUCUGUAGUUUGAUUACAAGUGUUCCCUAUAACUUCUAUUAUAUACUGCAUCUGAAGUAGAAAAAUGUGCUUAUCUGUGGAUUUGUAGCGAAUAAUUAUUUCUUUGUAGGAGUACCUAAGUAACAUGGUAGACUGAUAGUCAAGCUGAUCCUUGCAUAUAAAUUAGAAUGAUUUAUCGAAUAUCUCACACCUUUAUAUAAUAUCUUGGUAGCUAAGAUGGUAAAGGAAUUGUUUUACAUUAGUAGCGAUCGAUACAAGAAAUAUUAUCUCUGCCAUUUGGUUUUACCAGUCUUUUAAGUCAUUAGACUCAAUGAUGGUAAACAUCGGAGUUCCAAGUAUAAGUUUCAGAACAUGAGCUACUGUUUUUCAUGCCUCGGGCACUGACUGUCAAUGUAUUUGGAGCAGAUAUGCUUUACCAUGCAAUAUUUCAACAUUUAAACAAACCAUCUUUGGUUUAUCAACUGGAGUUAGUAACACAAACCGUGAGAUUGUGCGGAGAAUCCCUCAUGGAUAUAUCAAUUCCAUGUGUUCAUGGAACAGUUCUAGCCUAAAUAUAAUGUCCCUUCCUUUAAUCUUAUCUAGCUGCCUUUGUUUCCUUUAAGCUUUCAUGCCUUCCUCGAUUGAUAUGUACGGUACAUUGGCCACUGUUCACCUCUCCGUCGGUGUUCCCUGCUAAAUUUUCUUCUAGAUGUCCGAUUAAAUCGCCACACGCCAUCUGGGGUUUGCCCUUUGGCGUGAUUUCACCACCAGUUGGAAUGUCUAUCGUCUCUCAGCCAUACGCCGUUGCGAACUGCCACCACGCACUUCAUGUGUAUGUGAAAGGUUCAGAAUUAUACAGCGGCGAGGGCCUCGCGUUCGAGCCGACCAGGCUGCGGGAGAGGUGGGCGAGGGAGCGGAGGGAGGAGGCCGAGAGCCUGGCGGACCUCGGGAUGCCCGUGAAGAGGGCCGGGGCACGGAAGCCGCGCCUCGCGUUGCCAAUGUGUUGGCCUCAGCUGAUUUCCUGGGAAUCAUGUGUGGAGAUGAAAAACUUCAAAAAUUGUUGGGUCAUUUCCAGAAGGACUAUGAAGGUGGAGUAUGUGCUGAGAACUCGGGGUCACAAAUGGGAGGUUAUGGUUCAUUCUUGUACCCCCAGCGUUCUCUGUCUGUUAUAUCUCAAUCUAGAAGUCCUGCAGUUCCUCCAAACCAUGGCAAUGCCUCUAGAUCACCUUAUGUUCCAGUGGAGAGUGCACAGAAGAGUCAUUUUGUCAAGACUGAAUUAGAUAGCAGGGGAAAAGAUGAUUAUUGUCGAUGAACAUCGAAUGGGAUCAAUGGUAAUCCUCAUCAACAGAUUUUGAACAGAGCAGUCAAUGGUCCUGAGCAAAAGGCACCUAAAAUACGUAUCAAGGUGAACAGCAGUAGAAGUUUGGCAAGAAAUACUGCUGCUGUCUACAGUGGUCUGGGCCUCGACAUUUCUCCUUCAUCCUCUAUGGAUGACAGCCUUGGUGGGAGCGCUGGAGAUCCUGAGCCCAAAAAUUUACCAGAUGCAUCUCCGCAUACCAUUUUACAGAUAAUGACCUGCCAUCCUAUUCCUGGAGGACUCUUGCUUUCACCACUUGCAGAUAAUAUUAUGGCGCUGAGAAAAAAGACAGCAUCUGUAACAAAGGAACAUGAAGCACCUGAAUUUGAUUAUGACAAAGCAGAACUGAACAGAGACUGGUGUCCCACGACCUCUGCUGCAGGAGAUAACAAAAAUAAGGUGUCAAAUAAAAAUAAGUAUGUUGAAAAGAAAGAUCACCUCCCAAGUAUCAAGAAUUCACAAUGCAGACAUAAUGAUUCAACAAUUGUGAAUAAGGGGACUAUGCAUCAGUUACUGGAUAUGUCAGAUGAUGCAGGUUCAGUCCUCUUACCUAGAAGCAUGAAGACAGAACAACAUUCAGUUGAGGAAUCAGAAAAAUUGGUGGCUGAUAUUCCGAAUCACCUGAAGGAAACAAAGAAUGGUCCACUGAAAGCACGAGGCAUGAGUUUGCCAUACUUGAUAAGGAAGAGAAUAUAUGAAGCUAGGCCAAAGUUAGGGACCGACACUGCUGCUAGCUCAUGUGGAACGGGCAACAAACCAAACCAGAAGUUGGUCUGAUGUAUCUGCAAAUGCUGUAUGUGUAUAAGGUCAUGUUAUCUUCAUGACGGGCUCGGCUGCAGGGGCUAGGUGAGAGCUCAUCAGUAUAUGUUAGUAAUGCUCACUACCUCGGCAUCCACUGGUACUUGGUGCGACUUCCAUACAUCAUCAAGCUAGCGAGAUGGGCUCACCGCCUUGACAGCAUCAAGCUAAUGUGAUGCCCUUAUUAUUUGCCUAUAUGCUUUCGCUGGAUGUGUCUUCUAUGCUGCGGCAUUGACCUGCUGUUGUAGCUACGUAGAUAGGGCUAUGUAAAAGUUAUUUUGUGUAAGUGCAGUACAUCCUCUGGCUGAUUGGGAGGCUUGUAAGACAAUCCUUCAUCCAGACCCUAUGUUGAGAAUACGGGCUUAGCUUUAUAUGCUCUUUAACUACUCCUAUGCAUGACACGAACUGUUGCCCAGGAAGAAUUUUUGUUGAUACACUUUC